rnacentral:rRNA from 1 species
AGAGUUUGAUCAUGGCUCAGAUUGAACGCUGGCGGCAGGCCUAACACAUGCAAGUCGAACGGUAACAGGAAGCAGCUUGCUGCUUUGCUGACGAGUGGCGGACGGGUGAGUAAUGUCUGGGAAACUGCCUGAUGGAGGGGGAUAACUACUGGAAACGGUGGCUAAUACCGCAUAACGUCGCAAGACCAAAGAGGGGGACCUUCGGGCCUCUUGCCAUCAGAUGUGCCCAGAUGGGAUUAGCUUGUUGGUGAGGUAACGGCUCACCAAGGCGACGAUCCCUAGCUGGUCUGAGAGGAUGACCAGCCACACUGGAACUGAGACACGGUCCAGACUCCUACGGGAGGCAGCAGUGGGGAAUAUUGCACAAUGGGCGCAAGCCUGAUGCAGCCAUGCCGCGUGUAUGAAGAAGGCCUUCGGGUUGUAAAGUACUUUCAGCGGGGAGGAAGGUGUUGUGGUUAAUAACCGCAGCAAUUGACGUUACCCGCAGAAGAAGCACCGGCUAACUCCGUGCCAGCAGCCGCGGUAAUACGGAGGGUGCAAGCGUUAAUCGGAAUUACUGGGCGUAAAGCGCACGCAGGCGGUCUGUCAAGUCGGAUGUGAAAUCCCCGGGCUCAACCUGGGAACUGCAUUCGAAACUGGCAGGCUUGAGUCUUGUAGAGGGGGGUAGAAUUCCAGGUGUAGCGGUGAAAUGCGUAGAGAUCUGGAGGAAUACCGGUGGCGAAGGCGGCCCCCUGGACAAAGACUGACGCUCAGGUGCGAAAGCGUGGGGAGCAAACAGGAUUAGAUACCCUGGUAGUCCACGCCGUAAACGAUGUCUACUUGGAGGUUGUGCCCUUGAGGCGUGGCUUCCGGAGCUAACGCGUUAAGUAGACCGCCUGGGGAGUACGGCCGCAAGGUUAAAACUCAAAUGAAUUGACGGGGGCCCGCACAAGCGGUGGAGCAUGUGGUUUAAUUCGAUGCAACGCGAAGAACCUUACCUGGUCUUGACAUCCACGGAAGUUUUCAGAGAUGAGAAUGUGCCUUCGGGAACCGUGAGACAGGUGCUGCAUGGCUGUCGUCAGCUCGUGUUGUGAAAUGUUGGGUUAAGUCCCGCAACGAGCGCAACCCUUAUCCUUUGUUGCCAGCGAUUCGGUCGGGAACUCAAAGGAGACUGCCAGUGAUAAACUGGAGGAAGGUGGGGAUGACGUCAAGUCAUCAUGGCCCUUACGACCAGGGCUACACACGUGCUACAAUGGCGCAUACAAAGAGAAGCGACCUCGCGAGAGCAAGCGGACCUCAUAAAGUGCGUCGUAGUCCGGAUUGGAGUCUGCAACUCGACUCCAUGAAGUCGGAAUCGCUAGUAAUCGUGGAUCAGAAUGCCACGGUGAAUACGUUCCCGGGCCUUGUACACACCGCCCGUCACACCAUGGGAGUGGGUUGCAAAAGAAGUAGGUAGCUUAACCUUCGGGAGGGCGCUUACCACUUUGUGAUUCAUGACUGGGGUGAAGUCGUAACAAGGUAACCGUAGGGGAACCUGCGGUUGGAUCACCU